rnacentral:lncRNA from 1 species
AGCACUUCAGAACUGUUUCUAGAGCAGGAAAAGCCUGGCUGAAAGAACAACAAAUAUUGGAUGUGUUUUUUGUAGAGAAAAUGGCUGCUACAGUGUCAAGACAUUGUGUAAAAAGUGUUUUCAUUACUUGUAAAUUAGCCCAAGGGCUUGUCCUCCUCCUGUACUUCCUGCAGAGCUCCAGGGUGGUUUUAUUCACAACACUGAGCGCUGUUGCUAGGAGUCAAAGAAAAGCAUAAGUAUUUGUGGUUUUCCUUUUCCAGACACCAAAACAGAAAGCUGGCCACGUAGGCUGCAUUCUGUGUAGAUUCCACCUGGAGACAGUUUUCACUGGGCUGUUUCAGAGCUUUGGGCCUGGAAUGAAAAAAAGAAAUCUUUUUUUCAGCUUCCCUUCUCUCUAUGGCUGUCCACCCAUCCUAUACAGAGGGCAUCGUUCCCAAGUGAAAGAAAAGCAGCAUCAGACAAAAAAAAAAAAAAAAAAAAAAAAAAAACUGGGGGGGACACCAUCAGGAUGAAGAGGGCUCUGAGUAACCUCAGAAGGUAACGUGCCACAGACAAGCUUUGUCAGAAGUGCAGGGGUGAAAGUGGAGGUGUCCUUUGCUACCUGGCAAACCCUGCCAGAGCUGAAGCAUGGGCAGUACACAUCCAUAUGGAGCAAGCACCUCCCCUGAGCUUGGGUGAGAGCAGCUCUCAGGCUUCACCUGCCUUGUGCCUGUCCUGCAGGCUUCAGCUGGGGGGGGGGGGGGGGGGGUCUUUUCCCAAUUACCAGCCUCAUUGUUAUUGCUCCCACUCCCCCAUCCCUCCUCAUCAGGGUAAUUAACCGCCCGUUGCCUUUAGAUUUGUGCUCCCUCCCCACCCUCUCUUUCUCCCGAGGAAGAGAAGAGAUAAAAGGGAGGGCAGGGGCACUUCCACCAUACUGGUGGUCUGUAGGUGCACGUGCAGGGUGCAGAGCCUGGGCCCAGUAUGGUGACGGACCAGCCACUGCUUGUGUCAGACGGCAGAUCUGGACUCUGGCAGCACCAGCCAAUGCCUCAGGCUUGGGGAUAAUUGUGUUCUGGCCAAGCUGUGCAGCUACACUGUGUGCGGCUCCUUGCCAGGAGGGGACGAUGGCAUCAGGUGGCAUGCAGGAUCCCUCCCAUCCAGCAGGGACAAGUUAUGGAUGUACUCAUGAACUUUAGAAGAUUAAAAGGAAUGUUUGGGGCUUAGGUACCCUGAGCCCAGACUUAAGUCUUGUGCUCAGAUGAUGGAAAGAAAUGGAAUUUUUUAUUCAAUUUCAUCCCAUCUCAGAUGAAAGGAAACAAUCCAGAAGUGUUUGGUUCCGUCAGCAGCAGCUACUGGCUGGUUCCCUUCACCCUG